rnacentral:lncRNA from 1 species
GGAAAAAAUCCCCAGCACAGGGUCCACAUAAAGCCCAGAGAUGAGGACUGAAGUCAAGCAGUCAUGGUUAGAGUGAAUGGCUGCAAGAGUGGCCCUUGAGCGGUUACUACUACAAUUUCAUCCUUUUGAGAUUUCUGUCCCUUUAUUCUCACUGCUCCUGCCAGACUGGGAAACUGGGACUCUGCAGAUCAAUUAUGAGAACGCCCUUCUUCAUUCCUCCUGAGCACUGCUCACGCAGGUUGGCAUUUUCAGAAAGAGCUUUACCCAGCUGAGAAGCAAGAAAUACAAAAUAAAAAACAGCUCCCUCUCACCCUGAUCUCCCCCCUCCAAAAAAAAGCACCUAAGGAAAAGAAGACAAAUAAUCCAAGACACACAACUUCGCAGAAUACUCAACUCUAAUCCUGAGAAUCCCAUAACAGCAGUGGGGCGGCGAGAGGGGACGUGGACUUUUCUCUAAGGAGAAGUGCUUUUUUUUUUGUAAGUGGGGAAGAGCCGGCUGUGAACAAAACCAGAAAUGAACGUGGAAGGUUGGACCAUCAGCAGUCAUGGGGCUCCUGUAAUGAAAAAUCCUUCUAACCCCAUAGUUUUCAAAUGAGGAGACUGGGUGCUGGUGUGGUGGGGUUACCAGUACAUUUCAUGCUGGUGCAUGCUCUGGUUGAUUUUGAGAAAGGGCAGAUCUGAGAGGGGAGUAUCGCUUCAUUAUUCCAGCAGAGUGGUGGAGAAGCCAUGUUUCUGGCUUUACAAAGUCCCUCUCUCUGGCUGUCCUGCUUUACUUCCCGCUUCCAGGUCACCCUGUCCUGUGCGUUAUUCCCUCCCAGAUGUAGUUUCCUAACUAAGAAUGAGUCUGCUUUGCUGAGCAGUUUGAUUAUAAUGGUCAUUUAUUGAGUGACCAUUCCUAUUACAUACUCUGUCUUCUUUAACUUUCAGGAAAACUCGGUGAGGUAAGAGCUCUGUUUGCAGUUGGGGGGGCGAGUCUUAGGGCUGAUGAAUAAGUGACUCGCCCAAAGUCGCACAAGCAUAAGUGGAAGCAAUGGGGUUUGAAUGAAGCCCAAGCUCUUGGCCACCACUCUGAGUCCCAGUUGGAGGCUCAGCCCCUUCCUGGCUCAGAGUCUCAAUUCCACCCACUUCCUCAAAGCCUUCUGUGACUCACUCAGUGCCAUGCUCCCUCUGAAAGGGAGUGCCCGUUGUAAUCUCUCCAGUAACGCGUUCCAAACCCACAGCAACAGCACCCCAAAGUCCAGUCCUGGCUCCUCUGGUUGUCAGCAUGGGUUUGAUCUCGGUUGCAGCUCCUUGUCCCUCACUCCUGGGCUUCCCCCUGCAAACACUGAACAGUUGCCAGCACCCAGUGAACCUAAUCUCUACCCUUUCUCUGAUAGCCGAGGGCUGCUAAAAGGGACCCUUAUAACAAUGAUAUCUAAUCUCAGUCUGUAUAUUCCUCCAACCCUGGUUGUCCAACCCACCUUCUCUCCUUCCCUCUUUCUUUUCCUCCCUCAUCCCUCUCUUUCUACCUUUCUCUUGUAAAAAUCCAAGUGCUUAUUUAGUUAUUUAAUCAUGUAACAAAUAUCUAUGUAUGAAUCCACCAUCCCGAAGAAAAUCUGCCGGUAAAUCUAUAUGGAACCAAAUCAUCUCCCCAAACCGUAUACUUACCUCCCCUAGCCCAGUGUAACCGUUUUCAAUUCCUUCGAUUUUUAAAGAUUCAGCUAUGUAUUUAAAAAAUUCAUCUCUAUGUCUCCUUUAAAGGUAGGUUUUUCUUUUCAUUUGUCUUAAAUGUUGUUAAACGUGAAAACUUUUGUGUGUGAUCUUUAUUGAUGAACUUUUUUCAUUUGCGUUGUUUGGAUUCAGGGUUACUGAGUUGUUUAUCUGCUGUCUGAGAUUUAAUUGUGCAAAUACACCACGGUGUAUUUGCUUAUACUUUCCUACUGAAGACAUGGUGGGUUGUUUCCCUUUUUUAAGUGUGAUUACUGGCUGCUCUCGGCACUUUGGUUCAUGUCUACCGUUGUAUAUGUGCAAGGCAUUUUACAAGGAAAAAAUGUAAAAAUGGGAAACUCACCCACUAUGACACUCUUUUUCCGUAUGUGUCCCCUUGUGUUUCUGACUGCUUUUUAUUUUUCUGCAGGCAUUCAGAGACUUUUUUUUAAAAUAUAUUUUGUCCAAAGUUUAUGGUUAUUAUCUAAGGGAUGUUUGGUCUGAUAGGAGCUAUUUCUCCAUUUGUAGAAUCCAUCUGAAAUUGAUUUUUUGUGUAUAGUGUAAGGGCUUGCUUUCUUUCCAUAUGGACACUUAACUUUCUAGAGCCAUUCAUUGUAAAGACUGCCUUUUCAUACUGCUCACUAAUGCUCUCUUUGCCACAUGAUGUUGGUUUCUGAGCUCUCUAUGUCGCUUCAUAUUUUCCAGUUUUUCUAUUUGGGCACUAAUAUUGCACGAUCCCAACUCUGACAAAGCAAGGACUCUUAUUUUCUUCUAAGUCAAUGGUAUUAUGGCUGUUCUUGGCCUUUGCAUUUCCAUUCAAAUUUUAGAACAGAUUGUCAGGUUCCAAAUAUUCUUUAAAAACCCAAAUAUUUUCAACCUUUUAUUUAAAAAAUUUAAAUUGAGGUAUAUUGACAUCUAACUUUAUAUUCAUUUCAAGUGAAAACAUAAUGAUUUUUUAUUUGUAUAUAUUGUGAAAUGAUCACCAUAGGAAGUCUGGUUAACAUGUGUUACCACAUAGAGUUAUACAUUUUUUUCUUGUGAUGAGAACUUUUAAAAUUUACUAAAGCCCAAAUAUUUUUUAAAAGCCUUAUAAUUAAUAUUUUUGUUUGUUUUUGGCUGCAUCAUUUGUUUUUGUUAAAAGGCUGCACCAAUGGCAUUUGGAGGUUCCGAGGCUAGGGGUCCAAUCAGAGCGACAGCUGCCCUCUAUGCCACAAGCCACAGCAAUGUGGGGUCUGAGCCACGUCUGCAACCUACACCACAGAUCAUGGUAACGCUGGAUCCUUAACCCAUUGAGUGAGGCCAGGGAUCGAACCUGCAACCUCAUGGUUCCUAGGCGGAUUUGUUUCCACUGUGCCACAACAGGAACUCCAGUAAUUAAUAUUGUUAUGACUCUCUGGAUGGAUUUAAGGAGAAUUGACAUCUUUACUCUUUUUUCUUUUUUUACCUCACCCAUGGCACAUGGAAAUUCUGGGGCCAGGGAUCACAUCCCAGCUGCAGCUGCAACCUCUGCCACAGCUAUGGCAAUGCUGAAUCCUUAAGCCACUGCACCACAGUGGGAACACCAUCUUUACAAUUUUAGCACUUCUAACUCAUGAGCUUAGUAUCUCUUGGUUAAUUUUGUCGUUGUUUAAUUUCUCUGAGUAAUAUCUGGUAGUUUUCUGGUAGAAUGAUUACUCAUCUAUUAUUCUUGUAACAUUAUUUUUGUAACAAUGUAAAUAGUAUGUUUUUAAGAUGAUAUAUAUUUUGAAAAGAGACUGUCUUCAAAAUAAUUGUAUUUUCUGACUGUUGCUGGUAUAGAGAAAUAGCAUUAAUUUUUGUAUAUUGACUUCACGAGUGGCAACCUUGUGAAACCGCUUUUAAUUCAAAUAAUGCAUUUGUAGUUUCUUUUAGAUUUUAUACAUACGGAAUCAUAACAUCUGUGAAUAUUGAGAGUUUUCUUUCUUCCUUUCCAGGUCUCAUACAUCCUAUUUCUUAUUUUGCCUUUCUGUACUGUUUUGACUCUUGGGUUCAUUAUUGAACAAGAAGUCAUGAUUUUUUUUUUCCUGACGAAUGUGUGGCAUAGUGGGAGGGAAGUCACUAAACUCUUUCCAGAGUUUGGGGCUGCUAAUGAUCUAGUUCAAUGCUGGUACCACUGCUACCCAAUCACACACAUCUACCCGUUUUCAUGGAAUUCUGCUUGGUUAUGCUUUUCUUAGUUUGGAUAGUUACUUGACAAACCAAACCAUCCAGUCGUCAUUUCUAGAAUAGAAACUCCACGUGGUUGGGGCCAUGAGCCCUGCACCUGGAGGAAUCACUCCAUUGGUAUAAAUUUCUCUGUCCUUCUUUCCUCAAUCAGACUCGGAGAGGGUUCUGCCGCAUGUAGUUGCUCACCACUUACCUGGUUAUCAUGCUAGACUUUUUGCCGCAACUGUUUUUAUGCUAUUGGGCUGUCUUGCAUUCCUGGCAGUAGGAACUAUAGGCUUCUGCACCAGUAGAGGCUGGGUAAGUGGGGCCAGUUUCCCACACCAUCUAUGGGGAGGGUGACUACUCGGGCCAGCCUUAGGGCUCUGUGUGUUGAGGACAGGCCAAGCCCCCCAGCAACACCACGUAGUCCAUGCCUCAAUGAGGUCAUUUGCAUGACCCAGCAGCAUAAUGUCCCUUUCUUUGGAGGCAGAGUAAAAUAACCCACGAACAAGCACAUGUCAUAAUUCGUUCUAAUUUUUGUGACUUGAGAGCAUAAAAUGGAACAAGAGAGCACAAGGUAGGAAUCAGAAGCAGAAGGAAUGGUGGCUGGUCUGAUAGCGAUUGGCAUCUAAUCAUUCCAGCUGCCUGAAAAGUUGACUCAUGACCUCAGUGGACUUAUCGCCCCCCUGGUAUUUGUAGAGCCGAAUUGUAUUUUAAUGCUUUGUUUGUGCACCAAAGUGUUUCUAUACACUAACUUCCUAGUUGACGUGUCCUUUUGUCCAUUAUCAGCCACCAAUUUCACAUUCCAGGCCGUUGUCAGGAGUGGCCAGAUGCUAUGGUCAUGGGCAUGCCUGCAGAGCUGCCUUUCAAUGCACUUUAAAAACAGUCUUUGACAUUUACGCAUGUACUUUGGCUGCUAGCAAAUACAUCCAUUGCUGUCAAACAAAGCCCUGGGUUUGAUAAAAAUUUGUCUUUAUUUAUUUACUUGAGGCAAAAGGGGGGCUUUCAUUGUAUCGCAGGGCUUGCUUUUUAAUAAAACUCUGCCUCUGCUAUUCAACACAUGGGAGGGUAUGAAGAGGUUGGCAACAACUUGACAAGCAAAUAUUAUCUGAUGGAUUCAUUAAUAAUAAUUCGAGGUUGCUUUUUCUUUAACAUACUACCAAGAGACUAACUGACUGCAUUCAGUCCUUAUGCUUCUCCAUACCUUGGGCCAAUAAUUAUUCUAGGGUUAGUACUUCUUGGUUGCAACUAUUAACUCAUUGUGUGUUUCCUUCCCUAACUUUAAACAUCCCAAGGUCAAAGACCAUGUAUUAUUUGAUUUUGAUACCUCAGCACCCAGCAAGACUCCUGACAUUGAAUAGGUCCUCAAUAAAUUGUUGAAUGAAUGAAUCAGCCCCAUGUUCUAAGUCUAUGUAUGCACAGCCAAGGAGGGACUGAGGAUUUAACUGCAUGAUUCAGGUACAGGCUUAUUAAGCAAAUCUUAAUUAAUUAAUCUUAAUGAAGUCUACAGUAGUGCUGGAAAUGAGACGACAUUUUUUUUUUCCAGCAGCACCCGGGGUGUGUGGAAGUUCCAGGAUCAGGGGAUUGAACCCGAGCCACAACAGGGACAACACAGGACCCUUAACCCACUGAGCCACCAGGGAACUCUAAGAAGACUUUGUGUAGAGGUAGGUGAAGAAAGCUACUGUGAGCAUUCAUACUGCACUACUUUUUAAGAACUAUUCCAAUUAAGUCUAUAAGGAGUUGGGAUGACAGGCUGAGAAUUAAUUUUGUGUUACUAUAGAAAUUUAAUUGACUGCUUCCAGAAACCUGUGCUCAAUGGCUACAGACUUUAUGCUAGAUUAAAAAUUGAAGCAAAUUCUUUGUUACUCCUUCAUGGGAGGUCCCAUCAGGGCUCAGCACGUUACAAACCCAACUAGUAUCCAUGAGGAUGUGGGUUUGAUCCCUGGCCUUGCACAGUGGGUUAAGAAUCCGUGAGCUGUUGUAUAGGUUGCAGACACAGCUUGGAUCUGGCGUUGCUGUGGCUGUGGCCAUGGCUGGCAGCUGCAGCUCUGAUUUGACCCCUCUCCUUGGAACUUCCAUAUGCCACGGCUGCUGCCUUAAAAGCGAAAGAAAAAAAAAAAUCCUUGUUACUCCUUCAUUAAGUAGUAAAGUCUGAUACCUUGCCCUAUGAACCUAGGCUUACCUUAGCAACUUGUUUUAACAAGAGGACACAGCAAAAGUGUCAUUCUGGGACCUCUGAGUCUUGGUUUUAAGAAGACUUGCAGCUCCCCCAGGGUUGCUUGCUUUCUUAGAGCCCUGAGCUGCCUUGUGAAAAUCCUCACUAGUCUGAGACCGCUUAUUUAGAGAUACUCGGUGAUAGUCAGUUCCAGUCUGUUCAGACCUUCUGGCUGUCCCUGCCAAGGGGCCAGAUACAAGAGGGACACUGUCUUGGAUCCUCCAGACCAGUUCAUCCAGCGGCAGCACACCACCAAACAAUCUUUGUCCUACCAGAAGAAUCGCCCAGCUGAGCCCUGCCCUAAUAUCUGACCUACAAUAUCACGAGAUAGAAUAAAAUACUGGUAUUAAGCUUAGUUUUGGAAUAAUUUGCAUGCAGCAAUGGAUAACCAGGACAGCCUUCAUCCGGAUGUCAAAGUCCAGAGGUACAAUGAUUUAACUAAACAAACCAAUUUACUACUUUACAAGUGGAUUCUGUUGAAGAGUUCUUAGUUCCUUCUAAGCCAGAGAAGCUAGAUUUAAUACAUCAGGUAAAGGAGGAAGCCUGCAGGGGAAGACUUUUUCUUGGUGCAAAGGGAAUGGCUCAACAGCUGGAGACAUUCCAUAGGUGGCAGCUCUGGCCUAACCCUGAUGAACUUAAAAGACAGCUUUCAGGGGAGGAGGAGGGAGGAGCUAGGAGCCCCUAUGCAUAGCUGGGACCUCUCUGUUGUAAUCUCUUCUGGUUCCCAGUAAUGGACCUUAAUGUUCAAU